rnacentral:rRNA from 1 species
UUUGAUGGCGACCGGCGCACGGGGUGAGUAACACGUAUCCAACCUGCCGAUGACUCGGGGAUAGCCUUUCGAAAGAAAGAUUAAUACCCGAUGGCAUAGUUCUUCCGCAUGGUAGAACUAUUAAAGAAUUUCGGUCAUCGAUGGGGAUGCGUUCCAUUAGCUUGUUGGCGGGGUAACGGCCCACCAAGGCAUCGAUGGAUAGGGGUUCUGAGAGGAAGGUCCCCCACAUUGGAACUGAGACACGGUCCAAACUCCUACGGGAGGCAGCAG